rnacentral:sRNA from 1 species
GCUGGAAUCCCUUUGGGGCCACUGUAGAACUUUCUGGGGCUCAGCCUGAUGGGUAUCCACAUGCCCCUGAUAUUUUGGAUGCCCUCACCCAGGGGAUUCCUGCACUCCUGAAGCUUUAAGCUUUCAUCUCUCCCGCCCCCAUUAAUGCCGCCGUCUUCAUCCGCGCAGGUGAAGGAGGGAAAGAUUUUUGAUGAUGUGUCCAGUGGGGUCUCUCAGUUGGCGUCCAAGGUAGGGAGCCUGCCAGAUACGCGGGCACAGUCGAAGCCAGUCUCCAUAUUCCACGGCCCUGGGCGUGAGAGCAGGGUGUGCCCCGUGCAGCCCUCAGCCCAGCUCGGCAGUGGCCGCUGUCCUCUGAGACGGGAGGAGAGCUGCCCAGCCUGACGGCCCGAGGGAUAUGGAAACAGCUUGGCCCACUGCGGCCCGGUCAGCCACUAACUGUCACUUCUCCCUCUGCUCUUAUCUUGCUGCUGCUGGCCUUUUCUUCGGUCCAGGGAGUCGGUAGUAAGGGAUGGCGGGAUGUCACCACCUUUUUUUCGGGGAAAGCAGAGGGCCCCUUGGACAGCCCCUCGGAGGGCCACAGUUAUCAGAACAGCGGUCCAGACCACUUCCAAAACAGCACCAUAGACCAGAGCUUCUGGGAGACCUUUGGAAGUGCUGAGCCCACCAAGGCCCGCAAGUCCCCGAGCAGCGACAGCUGGACGUGCGCGGACACCUCCACCGAGAGGAGGAGCUCGGACAGCUGGGAGGUGUGGGGCUCGGCCUCCACCAACAGGAACAGCAACAGCGACGGCGGGGAGGGUGGGGAGGGCACCAAGAAGGCAGUGCCGCCUGCCGUGCCCACUGAUGAUGGCUGGGAUAACCAGAACUGGUAGGGCCCACUGCGCCCCUGUCCCCAGCGCCCCCGGGCGACUUCGUGUUUGCACUCUGCCCUCGUCGUUCCUCCUUCCAUUUGACCCAAGAAUCAGCAACUGCAGUGUGAGGACAGCGUCUCCGGAGGCAGGACCCUAGGGAGACUCGGGUUUGUGCCGCCUGCGCGUGGGGAGUCUCGGUGCGUGGGGGCGGCUUGCUGGCCAGCCUGUGCGGGGGCCGUCCCGUCCCACGCUCCCCCAGGCAUUCUUGGACUCAAGGCAGGGGCUCUGCAUGGCUUGCUGGGAGGUGGGCUGCAGCACAGAGCCCUGUGACUGCGUUCCAGCGGCCAGUUCACUACGCGGUAUCUCUGGGGCCUGGGACCAGCCACGUG